UAUGGAUAGCCAGAGGCUAGGGUCCUUAACCUUAACCCCAGUGUGUGAUGAACACCUUAACUUCAGUGUACAAUAAACACACAUAUACAGUAGAGUCUCACUUAUCCAACGUUCUGGAAUAUCCAACGCAUUUUUGUAGUCAAUGUUUUCAAUACAUCAUGAUAUUUUGGUGCUAAAUUCGUAAAUACAGUAAUUACUGCAUAGCAUUACUGCGCAUUGAACUACUUUUUCUGUCAAAUUUAUUGUAUAAUCUGAUGUUUUGGUGCUUAAUUUGUAAAAUCAUAACCUAAUUUGAUGUUUAAUAGGCUUUUCCUUAAUGCCUCCUUAUUAUCCAACAUAUUCGCUUAUCCAACAUUCUGCUGGCCCGUUUAUGUUGGAUAACUGAGACUCUACUGUAUUAAGCAUUACAAUUUACAAGGCUCUUAAAGCAACUUCUACUGGUCAAACAUAUAAGUAAGCAGCAGCAUAAAACUAAACAUGUAAUAUUUAAAAAUAGGAAUCAAUAGAAACCAAUGUUUCCAAAACAUUGUUUCCUACUUUAAAUGUGUCAUGCGUAUGUUAAAGAAUAUUGCUAUUUAAAAUACAUUGCUUGCCAUAAUGCAAACAUUAGAUUUUAAAAGUUGUGGACCGGUGAGUUCUCAGCAGUGUGUUUCACCUAUGGAAGAAGCUGCAGGAAACCCAGCACUUCCUUUAUUUAUUUAUCUGUUUAAUUGAUUAAUUUGUUUAAUUUCUAUCCCAUCUUUCCCACAGCAAGGGACCCAUGGUGUCCAUCCGUGCAAUCUGCUGUUUCCUUGCAAUGGGGCAGGUGUAAUGAACUGAAUUUCUAGAACACCUGUUGGGUAGAUUUUUGUGGGAUUUUAUCACAUGCAGGCCUUCCUGCUGGCCUUGACAGCUGCCUCAUUAUUAAAAUAGAGUGUCUAAUCUUUCAGAGGUGAAAGGAAUGAAAGAGGUACAAAAACAGUCUGAGAGGAAAAGUGUUCCCAGAAGUUCAUCUUGAGAAAUACAGAUCCACAAGCCCCCUUCAUGCCAAAAUAUACAAAAAUUCAGCACUUCUCAGUGGAGCAUGACAUGAGCGGAAGGAAACCAGUGAAGCCUGGUGAAGUUAGCAAAUCUCACAUGAAGUUGACAAUGAGUGAGUGUAGGCUUUCUCCCUUUAAUAACUAUUACUCCUGACUGAGGUGAUUGACAGGGCAAAUUAAAAUUCAUGAUGUAUAGCCUUUCACCAGCAGAAGUUAACCAAUGCUUCAUGCAGCUCGACAUUUUGGAACCACAGCGGCCAAUCAGAAACCCCCAGGAAGCCCAUAAACAGGACAUAAGCACAAUAGUUCCCCAGAAGUCAGUACUACAAGAGAUGUUCUGCCUCUGGAAGUAAUACAUAGCAAUCAUGGUUAAACAAUCAUUGGUAUCUUUCUUGAAAAGGAGCAAUUUUAGGAUUGGAAUGUGUUUUUGUAUUGUAUGUGUGGAAGAUGGUGAGACAUUUCCCCCUUUCUCCUCUUUACGGCCAACAUCCUAUAUGCUUUCUGUGUAGUAUAAAACAGCUUUAUUGCUCUAGAUCAGUGGUUCUCAACCUUUGGGUACCCAGAUGUUUUGGCCUUCAACUCCCAGAAAUCCUAACAGCUGGUAAAUUGGCUGGGAUUUCUGGGAGUUGUAGGCCAAAAUACCUGGGGACUCACAGCCUGAGAACCACUUCUUUAGAUCUCACUGUUGUGUAAUUGAUUUUGUCCUACUUAGCUCUCCACUCACCAAGUCAGUCAAGGGAGACAGAAAGGGCUGUGAGUGUACUUAGAGAAUGACUGGCUGAACUUAAACAACUAUUAGGAAAUAGAAUUGCCAAAUCUUAGGGCCUAUCCUUGAAUCUCAGGGACUGGCUCCUCUUUUCCAGUCUUUCGACCAAUGGUUCUUAACCUGUGGGUCCCCAGAUGUUUUUGGCCUUCAACUCCCAGAUAUCCUAACAGUUGUUAAACUGGCUGGGAUUUCUGGAAGUUGUAGACCAAAAACAUCUGGGGACCCCAGGUUGAGAACCACUGCUUUUGACUGAGGGGAAAGAAGUCAGAGAGACAGUCUUGCCUUGAAAGACGUGUGUGUUCCUAAUUCACUAGACCCAUUAGUUAGACUAUUGAAGUCAAUGGCAAACCUCUUCUGAAUAAAUCUUGACAAAAAGACCCUGUGAUAGAAAUGCUUUAGGGUCACCAUAGUUUGGAAAUGACUUGAAGGCACACAACAACAACAAUACUCUGUGCAAAUGUAGUUGAUGCUUAAUGUUUCAUGUAAAAUGGCAUUGCUGUGGGCUUUUCCUUGUAACAUCAGCCUAACACAGUGGUUCCUUUGGUUCUCCAGGUGUUUUGGACUUCACCAAGGUCUGAUUUCUGUAUCAUUACAACAGGGCAUUCUUAGGGCCUUUCCACACUGCCCAUAUAUCCCAGGAUCUCAUACAUGAUUAUCUGUUUAUCCCAAGUUUUCUGGCAGUGGGGACUCAUAUAUUCCAUGAUAUCCUUCUGGAAUGCCUGAAGGGGCCGGGAAUUGGAGGCACUGUGCUGUAGUGGUUCCGGUCAUACCUCUAAGGUAGGUGGUGCUUGGGGACAACUGCUCCUCAAAAGGAGCUAUUAUGUGGUGUCCCACAAGGUGCCAUUCUAUCCCCAAUGCUCUUUAACAUUUACAUGAAGCCACUGGGAGAUAUCAUCCAUAGGCAUGGGGCGGGUGUUAUCAGUAUGCUGAUGACACCCAAAUAUAUUUCUCUAUGCCUUCAAAAACAGUCUCAGUUAAGGAUAGCAUCUCUCCUCUGGAGAAGGCUGGAUGGGGGGGGGGGGAUUGAAACUGAAUCCAGACAAAACAAAGGUAUUUGCCAUCAAGGGUCCUACUCUGGUGGGGAGAUGUGUCAACCAGACCAGGAUGGAGUUACACUCCCCUUGAAAAACUGUGUCCACAGCUUGGGAGUGCUCUUGGAUCUGUCCCACCAAAUGUCAGCCCAGGUAGAUGCCACUGUCAGGAGUGCUUUCUAUCAGCUUUGGCUGAUACACCAGCUGUACCCCUUCUUGGUUUUGGAGGACCCACAGAUGGUAGUGCAUGCACUGGCAUCCUCAAGGUUAGACUUCUGCAAUGCGCUCUACAUUGGGCUACUUUUUACCAAGUUCGGAAACUCAAGCUGGUUCAAAAUACGACAACCGGAUUGGUUACCAUAACUUCCAGGAGUGAGCAUAUCACAUCUAUCCUAAAGUCACUCCACUGGCUGCCAAUUAGUUUCCAAGCUAAGUACAAGGUGUUGGUUUUGACCUUUAAAGCCCUACAUGGUUUGGGUCCAGGUUUCCUGAAGGACCACCUUCUCCCAUUCAAUCUGCUCUGCAUUCUUAGGUCCUCUGGGGGUGUCUGCUCCAACCAGCCAGAACAUGACUGGCAACCACAAUCCCGAGGAUCUUUUUCAUCAGCCACCCCACGACUCUGGAACAACCUGCAGGUAGAGCUCUGACAGCUAUAGCAACUGUCAGAAUUUUUAAAACAUGGAAAGACCUAUCUCUUCUGGCAGGCCUACCCAGCCAGUCCUUAAGCAUGAAUUUUAAAUUUGUGUCUUGUGUUUAAUCUCAGUUUUGUGUAUUUUAAUAUGUAUUUUAUAGAAAUAUGCUUUAAUAUGUAGAUUUAUAGAAAUAUAUUUCAAUAUGUGGAUUUGUAGUACUUUUACAAUGUUUAUGUGUUUUAAUUUUUCUGUAACCCGUCUUGAGCCACCAUGAGAGGCAGAUAAGAAAUAAAAUUAUUAUUAUAAUUAUUAUUAAUAAUAAUAAUAAUAAUAAAGCAGAUAAUCUGGGAUGAGAUCCUGGGAUGAAGAACAGCAUGGAAGGUCCCUUAGAUUUUUGGUUUUGGCCCUGAAAUCCCAGGACAUGGCAUAGUUCUGCCCUGCUAUCCUUUCUGAGAUAGUGAAACUGUUUGAGCAAAUUGUUUCUUGCUAGCAUUGGGUAUAAGCACUAGAGUUGGACCCGAAUCCUGUUUCAUCUGUUUCUUUCGUGGUUUUGUACCAUUCUGUCCUUUCAGAUGGCAUGGAAUGGUUCAACCCCCUCCAGAACAAAAGAAGCAGUGAAAUGAAAAAAAGAGCAAAUGUUUGGUCAGCUGAUUUUUGGUGCUUAGCUGUAGGCCCUGGCUGGCAGGGCCUACAGCCAUGCACCGGGAGUAUGUUCAUAGUCCUGGCUUGCAGGACCUACAGUCGAGUGCCAAACACCCGAAGCUUGUAGGCCCAGCAGGAAGAGCCUAUGAGUCAUCGAGCGCUCGAUGCUGUAGGCCUGGCAGGCAGGGCCUACGGCCGAGCGCUCAAUGCUCAUAGGUCCGGCAGGCAGGGUCUACAGCUGAGCUCCGGGCCCGCUUGGAUGUAGGCCCUGGUGCUUUGUUGCCCAAAGCCCAAAAAAUCUUUGUUUUUUUCGGACCUUGGACAGAAGAGCUCAUUUGUAUAGGCGCCCAUUUCCGUAUAGGGUGGGUGGAAAUGGAAAUGGGGCGAUACGAAUGGUACAAAUAGAAACGGCUAAAGAUUUCAUACAAAUACACACCACUAAUAAGCACACUGAAAAAUUAUAGCCAUUUGGACAUUUUAUGAAGCAAAAAUAAAUAAAUAGAAGUAAGCAUUUUGAGUAUCAGAGCAAGAAAUCUAUACUAAUCUGACAACACUCUUCGACAGAUUUAUAGUUCCUUCUUUAAGACUCCUCUGAAAAUUCAAAUGCUAAAAUUAAUUGUAACAAAAUGGAUGGUAAAGUAAGAUAUAUUUUACUUCUUGAAGGAAAAUGAGUCUGUCUUGUAAUUUUUCUCAAGGGAUCUCAUAUUUCUGAAAGUGGACAGGUGGCCUGUUCAGUCGGGGACAUGCCAAUUAACCUAUCCAUUAUGUAACAAGUUGAGAAUAUUUAACGAGGCAUAGAAGUUGCCAAGGAAUUUUGGCAGAAUGGACAAGGAUUUCCUUGUAAGUAGCAAAAUUCUUCCCACCUGCUCUACAAGGAUCAGACUACUAGUGGUUUUCAAAGGGCCAUUAGCCAGACAAACCAGCAUUAAGGGAUUUGAUCCCAGAUGUAAAGACAGCUUAUGUGGUUGUAUGAAACAAAUAAUAAUGAGAAUUUCAUAGAUUGUUUAUUUCCCUCAGAGCUAAGUAAUGGUCAUUUGAGUAGAAUUGAUUUUUCUUAGCCAUUCAUUUAAUUGUAUGGGAAAACCUGAGCUUUAGAAAAGAUAGUGAAGCAGAAAUUUGGAAGAAUGUGACAGACAGGAGCAGAAUAGCUGGAGUUUUUUUUUUGUUACUUUCCAUUACUUUUUAAAGAAGGCAAAAAUAUUGAUAAGAUUAUGGGGUAUCUGCCUCCGCUGGCACAGCGGGUUAAACCAUUGAGCUGCUGAAUUUGCUAACUGAAAGGUCGAUGGUUCGAAUUGGGGGAGUGCAGUGAGCUCCCGCUGUUAGCCACAGCUUCUUCCAACCUAGCAGUUCGAAAACAUGCAAAAGUGAGUAGAUCAAUAGGUACCGCUCCGGUGCGAAAGUGUUCCAUGCAGUUAUGCCAGCCACAUGAUCUUUGAGGUGUCUACAGACAAAGGCGGCUCUUCAGCUUAAAAAUGGAGAUGAUCACCAAUCCCUAGAGCUGGGAGAAACGUUUACCUUACCUAACGGGGGUAAAAUGUAUCUAAAAAUAACGAUAAUAAGUAAUAUUUGAAAGUAACUAGAACUGUUAUUCAUCCAUGUAAAAUACUUCCACUCCAAUGCAUUACAGUGCCUUCAUUCAAUAGGAUUUAAUAUCUAUUCAAAUUCCAUUUAAUUCAAUGUUACUAAAACACACCUUUAAUCAAUCAUGCAUAAGCUCUGUAUCUGUGCAGAUUUUGAUCCAAUUGUGUAAAGUGUUAGUAGAUUAGCCAGCUCCACUUAAACAAAAAGGUAAAUCCUAUGAUUGGAGAAAUUUGGCACUACAUUGAUCAUCUCCUGCAGAAGAGCUAAACAGACUUGAUAAGAAACAUACAGCAAUCCCUACUGGAUAAAACAGUAUUCGUUCAUUCUUUGCCUGCUACAGCAGCAUUCUCUGACAACAUGACCUUUAUUUUUCUCUCCUUUGAGAAAUGGCAUCUUUAUCUCCCCUCCUUCCCUUUAAUUGUAUGAGAGAAGGAAAGGAAUUUUACCAGCUGGCACAAACCAGAUAUGAAACUAUUAGGAUGCCAUUACUCAUUGCAUUACAAAACUUGACGUGAAAACUGUUAUAGGUUGUUUUCAAAAAAACAGAAUGACAUUCCUUUCCUAGUACAUCAUUCCAUAUGACAAACCAUGAAACAGUAAUUGUUAGUUUCUAGAAAUGCUUAUGCAAUGUAUAAAGUAGCAUUCUGAUUGACACACACCCAUUUAGAUCAUGGUAAUCUAUUUGUAUAUUAUCAUUUCCAAGUUGACUGAACUGAGUGCGUAAACUGCCAGGUGCAUAUUCAUUUAUUGUUGUUAUUGCUGUUGUUGCUACGAUUCCAGUUCUGUUCAGUGACUGUAAGAAUUAGUUGCAGGUACAGUUCCAAAACCCAGAAAAGUUGGUUCAUAUUAUUCUUGCAAUUUUAAGUUCUUGUUAUUCAAAUAUAAUUAAGCAGUAAAUUUUAGUUACAGUUAAACACCAGCAUGCUAUACAUUGCUGACCACUGGUACUAAACAUGUUUAAGUAGUGUGCUCCCAUAAUUAUGAAUUAUAAUGAAGAGUAGUUAAAAUCAAUUACAAUUAUAGCCCAAAGGAAUUCUCUUCAUUAGACUAUAAUCAUAACAUAUCCAAAUUAUAUUCAGUUUAUUGAAAAAAGUACUAAUUACAGAUAACUGUUUCUAUAACUACUUACUUCCAAGUGCAAAUUAACAUCAAUACAAUACACGUAAGGUCACUGUUCCUCUAGGCCGAAGUUUAAUACAAUGAUUAACUAAUGGAGUCCAGUCUUUAUCAAGCUCAUCCUUUUGUCCCAUUCCAAUCUGCAGUUUGUUAUUUUGUAGUCUAUAUAAUAAUCUGUAUUUCCCUUUCCCUUUGCAGAUGGUGUAUGAGUUGGUUUCCAAGCUCCUGCUACUAGAAUCCCCAAAACUCUCAAAAUGCAGCUCACCAUGAGAAUUGGCCAAUUAGGAGAAACCAAUAUCCAUUUUCAGUCAGGUCUCUUAAGGAAGCAUACAAAUUUUCUCCCUCUGAGUUUUGUCUUCAUUCAGACUCUAGUCUUCUUUCCAUCACAACUUUGAAUAAUUUUUCAUGGGAUGAGAUCCAGGUUUGGGGAGAAAGGGGAUUAUGUGCCUAUCACACCUCACUGCAGGUUUCCUUUUUUUAAAAAUUAAAGUCAUUUGCCAAGGAGUGUGAAUCAAAUCGACAAUUACACACCGUGAGGGGGGAUAACAUGGGGGUAAAAAAAAAUAUAUAGACGGUUAGGAGAAAUCUAUUAAUCAAAACCCUACAUCAGGAAACAAAAGGAAAAAGAGGACAGAGACAGAAAACAAAAAGCAAAAAACAAAAAAUCAGAACAUCACUUAAAUACUAACAGUUAUCACAUAUAAUUAAAAUUGACUUCCAUCAGAUGUGUGUUGUUAUGUAUCGUAUUCAUUUGGUAUCAACUGCUGCUGCUCAGUCGUUUAGUCGUCUCCAACUCUUCGUGACCUCAUGGACCAGUCCAUGCCAGAGCUCCCUGUCGGCCGUCACCGCCCCCAGUUCCUUCAAGCUCUUGCAGCCAUAGGUUACUAUGGGGAAUACCAUUGCUUUCACUAUAUGGAAUCAACUAUACCCUUGUAUUUCCUCUUCUAUUUGUUUGUUGUAUUAUUUUUCUCUCCUUUAGUGUUUAUUCUGGGACAGUUGUGUAGUCUUUUAUCUUUGGCUAGUGUAUCCUUAUAUUAUCACUUUACAGUUCUCUGUUCUUAAAUAGUUUGUAACUAAUUCCCAAUGUUUGUUUUUUUGGGUUUGCCUUGAAUGUUCGAUAGUAAGUAUGUUAAUUUGUCUGCCCUCAUAAUUUCCAAAAUUUUAAUAAACCAGUUUUUUUU